AAACAAAAAAAAAAAAAAAACAAAAACAACGAAUCCAACACAACUGUCUCUUUCUCUCUCGACAACUCUUUGCCUUCUUUUUUUUGUGUCUUUCUUGUUCUUUUUUUCGACUUCUCAAAAGGUUGAACACGCUUCUCACACAACAAAGAAGACUCGAGUUCUUUUUCGUGAUUUUGUUAGCGAUCGACAGUCCGGUUUCGUGAAAAAGAAACAGAAAAAG
rnacentral:ribozyme from 1 species